rnacentral:lncRNA from 1 species
AACAAUCUAGAAACCACUUCUGCACCUCCGGAACAGUGUCAGUCGGAUUUCUAGGCGCAUGAACACCGGCGGCGCGUGGAUCCACGCGCCACCACCAAAAAAAUCCAGCAGCAGGGGGUUCUGGAUCGCUUUCUUCCCCUCUUCAAUCUCCUGCUGCCCGUGAGAAAACUCACCACCUGCAAAUCCAAGAAACUCAAAUGAUAGUUGAUUUUAAUUAAAAAAUUUUAGAUCUGCUUCUCUUCUUCUUCAAAUCUGCUUCGGAUUUUGCUUCUUCUUGUCCGAUCUGUUCUUGCUUCUUCUUUUCUGUUUCAGGCGACGGUGGAGUGGUGGGUGUCGCCGCUGCAAGGCUGAUCGGACGAAGAUGAAGAAGACAUCGGGGUUGCUGCUGGAGGCCGAUCUGCGCCGAUGAAGGAAGCUUUGCUGCGGGCUGGAAGGAGACUUUGCUGCUGUUGUCGUCUGCUCAGCUGACUUCGUUGUGGGAAGAGAGCAGCUGUUGGUCAGGGAGGCUGAGAGAUCGGUGGCGGCGGCUGCGGUGAGAGGAGAAAGCUCCCUCCUGUCCGGCGUGUGGUUGAGAGCUUGCAGUAAGGGAGAGAGUGUCCGGCCGGCCAAUCGGUUGAGGUAGAAAAAAAAUGGGAGAUGGAGGCCUUGCGGCUGCUGGAAAUACCGAUUGAAGAAGAAAAAGCAAAGCUGAGGGAGGCAGCGUUUUCUUCAAAAGAAAGGGGAAGCUGGCCGGUUCUUUUUUAUUAUUAUUCUUGUGGGUGAGGGUGAGUUGAAGAUGAGAGUGUGCUGGUUUCCCUUUGGAUCUGGGGUGAACGGCUGGACAAAAAAAAAAUAAAUUCAGGGUGGGGGGCGGCUGGUAGCCUCUUCGUGAGGGAGAGUUGGCUUUUUGCAGGUGAGGGACUCCGUGGGUCUCUGCCCC